AUUUGCAUUCAGCCAAUCAGGCUGCACCUAUGGUAAUGUAUGCUUGACUGCUCCUCCCCCUUGCUCUCCUGAGCUGCUGCAAGCAAGGCAUGCAAAAUGGCUGCUCAUCAGCCCUGCCUACAAAAUGGCUGCAUACCAGUCCUGCAAGGUGGGCCACUUACCAACCUUGUAAGGUGAGCAACAUAUGUUACAAUGACCCUAAGCAUUUGAACCUUUCCGGCUAUCCCUUUCCAAUGCAACAGAAGAAGAGACAAGUAUUGCUGGGCUGCAAUAAACAUGCAAGGAGCAGUCCAGAGUGCACUUUACUAUUGGAGAUCAGAACAGAGGGAGUGAAUAAAUGAAUGAAUAUACUUCAGACAUCUAGUGUGCUGGCAUCGUUUCAAAAUUAUGUACUGGUAACUGAUUUACAAACUGUAAAUAGGAAAACCCCUUCUUUAAGCCUUUAAAUUAAAAUGAAUGAUGGCCAAGUGUGUCUAAUUGAUUUGAUUUGAAAUUGGUUCAGCUCAUAGGAACCUUUUUCCUGGUCUAC
rnacentral:lncRNA from 11 species